GCUAAAAUAAACACGAAAACAAUAUAUUCUUCCAAAAGAAAUACUUGUUAUCAUCAUUCUUCCAUUAAUGAAUUUUGAAACUCCAUCGUCUCUUCUUCAACUCGAAUGAAUCAAAAAAAGUAACUAAUCAAACUUAUGAAUCUUGAACGAAAUUUGAAGUAAGAAAACUCCGUUGAAGCUCAAAUAAAAUUGGUUCCUUUUUCUUCUUCAUCAGAUCUCUUGGGACGUAAAUAAUUUCUUCAUGCAUGUAUGUGGUAUUGGACAAGGCAUCGGUCUAAGACAAUAAUUUGGAUCAUCUCAAGGAAUAAAGGAAUGUGCUACAACGGAUAGAAGAACAAUUUGAAUAGAGAAAGGAAGAAAGAUCAGUAAAGGAGUGUGAUUCUAUAGAACAUGAUUUGAUUGGAAGAAUAUGUUGACAUCGAUGGAUGUAAUCUUUCAAACAAAUACAAAUCAAGAAGAUUGUUAUGAAAAGAAUGUUGUAGGUGGUGCAAGCAUAAAAUAUAAUUGUUCAUUCACUCAGGACAAGAAUGAGAUGAAAAUUCCUUAAUUGCAUCCCUUAAGAAGAUUGACAUGCUUGGUCAUGGAUCUUAAAGAUCCCACCAAUUUAUAAUUAAAGCAUGAUCCAGAGCAUGUACAACUUUCUUAUAUUGAACCGAAUUAUAUUAGGGAUUUUGUGUGGGGGGA